GCAGUGAGGAAUAUUGGUCAAUGGACGAGAGUCUCCNUNCANACAAGUAGCGUGCAGGAUGACUGCCCUAUGGGUUGUAAACUGCUUUUAUCAGGGAAUAAAGUGAGGCACGUGUGCCUUUUUGUAUGUACCUGAUGAAUAAGGACCGGCUAAUUCCGUGCCAGCAGCCGCGGUAAU
rnacentral:rRNA from 1 species